GGGGGAUAUUGCACAAUGGGGGAAACCCUGAUGCAGCGACGCCGCGUGGAGGAAGAAGGUUUUCGGAUUGUAAACUCCUGUCGUUAGGGACGAUAAUGACGGUACCUAACAAGAAAGCACCGGCUAACUACGUGCCAGCAGCCGCGGUAAAACGUAGGGUGCAAGCGUUGUCCGGAAUUACUGGGUGUAAAGGGAGCGCAGGCGGGAAGACAAGUUGGAAGUGAAAACCAUGGGCUCAACCCAUAAAUUGCUUUCAAAACUGUUUUUCUUGAGUAGUGCAGAGGUAGAUGGAAUUCCCGGUGUAGCGGUGGAAUGCGUAGAUAUCGGGAGGAACACCAGUGGCGAAGGCGGUCUACUGGGCACCAACUGACGCUGAGGCUCGAAAGCAUGGGUAGCAAACAGGAUUAGAUACCCUGGUAGUCCAUGCCGUAAACGAUGAUUACUAGGUGUUGGGGGAUUGACCCCCUCAGUGCCGCAGUUAACACAAUAAGUAAUCCACCUGGGGAGUACGACCGCAAGGUUGAAACUCAAAGGAAUUGACGGGGGCCCGCACAAGCAGUGGAGUAUGUGGUUUAAUUCGAAGCAACGCGAAGAACCUUACCAGGUCUUGACAUCCGAUGCAUAGCACAGAGAUGUGUGAAAUCCUUCGGGACAUCGAGACAGGUGGUGCAUGGUUGUCGUCAGCUCGUGUCGUGAGAUGUUGGGUUAAGUCCCGCAACGAGCGCAACCCUUAUUGCCAGUUACUACGUUAAGAGGACUCUGGCGAGACUGCCGUUGACAAAACGGAGGAAGGUGGGGAUGACGUCAAAUCAUCAUGCCCUUUAUGACCUGGGCUACACACGUACUACAAUGGCGUUAAACAAAGAGAAGCAAGACCGCGAGGUGGAGCAAAACUCAAAAACAACGUCUCAGUUCAGAUUGCAGGCUGCAACUCGCCUGCAUGAAGUCGGAAUUGCUAGUAAUCGCGGAUCAGCAUGCCGCGGUGAAUACGUUCCCG
rnacentral:rRNA from 1 species